rnacentral:rRNA from 1 species
AUUGAACGCUGGCGGAAUGCUUUACACAUGCAAGUCGAACGGCAGCACGGGGCAACCUGGUGGCGAGUGGCGAACGGGUGAGUAAUACAUCGGAACGUGCCCAAUCGUGGGGGAUAACGUAGCGAAAGUUACGCUAAUACCGCAUACGAUCUACGGAUGAAAGCGGGGGAUCGCAAGACCUCGCGCGAAUGGAGCGGCCGAUGUCAGAUUAGGUAGUUGGUGGGGUAAAGGCUCACCAAGCCGACGAUCUGUAGCUGGUCUGAGAGGACGACCAGCCACACUGGGACUGAGACACGGCCCAGACUCCUACGGGAGGCAGCAGUGGGGAAUUUUGGACAAUGGGCGCAAGCCUGAUCCAGCCAUUCCGCGUGCAGGAUGAAGGCCUUCUGGUUGUAAACUGCUUUUGUACGGAACGAAGCGGCGAGCUCUAAUACAGUUUGCUAAUGACGGUACCGUAAGAAUAAGCACCGGCUAACUACGUGCCAGCCGCCGCGGUAACAC